rnacentral:lncRNA from 1 species
ACUAAACCGAAAAGGAUAAGGAAACAAACAGAAAUUAAGGUUUUUUUUUAGUAAAAGUCCUUUGAUUUACAAUAUACGAAAAGUUGGGACCACCACCGGUUAUUUUUGAAGUUGGGUCCGUUGCCGGCCAAUGGGUGAAAGUUUGGAUUAUUAAAAUCCAUUAUUCCAAUUAAAAAAAAUAAAUUUUAAGAUAAUGCAAACCGGACAUACUGUAUUCGGGUUUUACUGACCUGUACCGGCCCGUGUCCGAUAUCCGGUUUAACAGGUAUAACCAGGCAGUUCAUACCGGUACUUAAAACAUUGGGUUCAGGCCUUUUCUGCUAUCAAUCAAGACGCGUGGGGAAUGGGAUGAGGAUUGCCAGAAGAUCGCGUCUUGAUCUAUAACUGAUGCAAGUGGGUUCGAGACGGGUUUGUCGGUUGUGUGUGCAAGCGGGCGGUUGGUUUGUGGCUUUGCUGGGCGGCAGCGUCACAUAAAAGGCAGUGUGUGGCGUUGGGGCUUGUAGUGGCCGUGUAAUUGCGGGUUGUUGAUGGCUUGCGACGACUGUUGAGCGCCGGCCAUUUUUAGGGACAUAAACAAGCCCAUUGAUAAUAUAUAUUAUUUAAUUUCUUCCCUUUUUCUUUAUAAGGCGAGAAUAAAAAUCCAUUAUUUCUUAUUUUAUUUUAACUAGUUUUUUUUACGUUGCGCGUUGCAGCGAAACCGAGCAAAUGAUAAUGUAAAACAAACUUGAUUUGAAAAUAAAACAUGUUGUUUAGAAAGCUAGAGCAUUAGAACGGUUUAGUUUAUCAUUGUACCGUUUUAUGAUACAAAAUAAAUACUUUAUUUUGAAUACAACUUCGUUUUAAACAAAACUUAUAAGGAAUGUCGAGUGAAAAAAUCAAACACAACUACGUGCUUAAGUUUUUAGAAUAAAGUUAUACAUGUAAGUUAUUAAAGAAGUAUCAAAUUAUUUGAUA